CUUAUGUAUACUCGCAAGAAUUUACACACUGAAGUAAAAACGUAGAUAUAAAGUCUCACGUGAAAGUAACUCAGCCACCAGACCUGCCACGCCGAACCAAUUGAAACAUCAAAUACCAUGCUCUGCACAUGAUUAAAUAGGUAAAUCUGAAAACAGGGUGAACAUCGGAAACAGCUACUCCCAAAUUUCCAUUCAGGACCGUUAGUUGCAGGGUUUUCUCUACUGAGCACUAGGCGUUGGAUCAAUUCAUUUCCGGUAUUCGUGGCGCUCAAAAUGGCACGAGUUCAGCAUAAAACAUGGAUUAG